rnacentral:rRNA from 1 species
GACGAACGCUGGCGGCGUGCUUAACACAUGCAAGUCGAACGGUAAGGCCCCUUCGGGGGUCCACGAGUGGCGAACGGGUGAGUAACACGUGAGCAACCUGCCCUUGACUCUGGAAUAACAGUUGGAAACAGCUGCUAAUACUGGAUAUUCAUCGUCUCCUUCCUGGGGGGUGGUGGAAAUCUCCGGCGGUCAGGGAUGGGCUCGCGGCCUAUCAGCUUGUUGGUGAGGUAAUGGCUCACCAAGGCUUCGACGGGUAGCCGGCCUGAGAGGGCGACCGGCCACACUGGGACUGAGAUACGGCCCAGACUCCUACGGGAGGCAGCAGUGGGGAAUAUUGCACAAUGGGCGCAAGCCUGAUGCAGCAACGCCGCGUGCGGGAUGACGGCCUUCGGGUUGUAAACCGCUUUCAGUAGGGACGAAGGGUGACUGACGGUACCUACAGAAGAAGAACCGGCUAACUACGUG